rnacentral:rRNA from 1 species
AUUGAACGCUAGCGGGAUGCUUUACACAUGCAAGUCGAACGGCAGCGCGGACUUCGGUCUGGCGGCGAGUGGCGAACGGGUGAGUAAUGUAUCGGAACGUGCCCAGUAGCGGGGGAUAACUACGCGAAAGCGUAGCUAAUACCGCAUACGCCCUACGGGGGAAAGCAGGGGAUCGUAAGACCUUGCACUAUUGGAGCGGCCGAUAUCGGAUUAGCUAGUUGGUUAGGUAACGGCUCACCAAGGCGACGAUCCGUAGCUGGUUUGAGAGGACGACCAGCCACACUGGGACUGAGACACGGCCCAGACUCCUACGGGAGGCAGCAGUGGGGAAUUUUGGACAAUGGGGGCAACCCUGAUCCAGCCAUCCCGCGUGUGCGAUGAAGGCCUUCGGGUUGUAAAGCACUUUUGGCAGGAAAGAAACGUCGCGGGCUAAUACCCCGUGGAACUGACGGUACCUGCAGAAUAAGCACCGGCUAACUACGUG